UACGGAGGAUCCAAGCGUUAUCCGGAUUCAUUGGGUUUAAAGGGUGCGUAGGCGGAAUGAUGAGUCAGUGGUGAAAGCCUGCAGCUUAACUGCAGAACUGCCAUUGAUACUGUCAAUCUUGAGUACAUUUGAUGUGGGCGGAAUGUGUCAUGUAGCGGUGAAAUGCUUAGAUAUGACACAGAACACCGAUUGCGAAGGCAGCUCACAAAACUGUAACUGACGCUGAGGCACGAAAGCGUGGGUAUCAAACAGG
rnacentral:rRNA from 1 species